rnacentral:tRNA from 1 species
GGGGCUAUAGCUCAGUGGUAGAGGUUAGUGAUUCUCCCAUUUUCCAAAAUUCAAGAUUUGGUUUCUAACAGUUACGCAGCGAAGGAUUGCAGUUACACAAUCAUCCUUAGGUCCCUGGUUCGAUCCCGGGUGGUCCCU